AUUGAACGCUGGCGGCAGGCCUAACACAUGCAAGUCGAGCGAGCGGCGGACGGGUGAGUAAUGCCUGGGAAUUGCCCAGUCGAGGGGGAUAACAGUUGGAAACGACUGCUAAUUCCGCAUACGAUUGGAUUGCCCAGGUGGGAUUGGCUAGUUGGUGAGGUAAUGGCUCACCAAGGCGACGAUCCCUAGCUGGGCUGAGAGGCUGAUCAGCCGCACGGGAACGGAGACACGGUCCAGGCUACUGCGGGAGGCAGCAGGGGGGAAUAUUGCGCAAUGGGGGAAAGGCUGAGGCAGCGAUGCCGCGUGGGUGAGGAAGGCCUUCGGGUUGGAAAGCUCGUUCAGCGAGGAGGCGUUACUCGCAGAAGAAGCACCGGCUAACUCUGUGCCAGCAGCCGCGGUAAUUC
rnacentral:rRNA from 1 species